ensembl:lncRNA
CAUGGCUAUGUUUCUUUGACCUCACACUUUUUCCUGCGUUUUCAUUCUGUGUUAGAUUCUAUUCACCUGGUGAAACAAUGAAUCCCCAGAGAAUAUCCAGUAAGUUGUGUGAUUUUUUUUUAUAAUUCAAUGUACUAUAGUGUAUACAUAUAUGGGAUGUACUUUUAUGUUGGGAUGUACAUUUAUUUAUCUAUGGGAUAUAUUUUACAGUAAAGCAUCAAGCCCAACUACCAAGUGAAGAAACCAGAGCUGUUACCAAAGCUUUUGAAUGGUAGGUACACCUACCACUUGCCAAAUAUUUGCACACAACUGCUCAGCCAAGACUGAGGUCUCCAGCGUGGUGCUUCACUGGUGCUCAUGCAAACUCUAAUCCUUGCCCAGCCCCAGAGGCGGUGGAGAGGUGGGAAGAGAAGGGAGAUCAUGUGAGAUGCACAUCCUUUGCUUUUUAGAGACGGAGUUGGCACAUCAGCUCUGACUGGAAAGCAAAGGGGCUUUGUCACCAGCAGUGCCGUGGCUCAUGGCUGAGAUGCAUCCUCACAGGUCAGAGCCAAGGAAGAGCAACACGUGCCAAGGCACUGGGAGGCCAUCCAAGAGGGCAUUGCAGAGACACUGAAUACAUGGCAUUGCUGUUAACAUUUUGGCAGACCAGGAAGAAGGGGAAAAAAAGAGAAGUACCAGGUGACUUAGACCAAAUGGUGUGGGAUUGUAAAAGAAUAGACAGUGGAUGAGGUCCUUCAAGCAUUCCUCAAAGUAAUCUUCCACCUCAGAAGCAGCGAUCACUUAUGUCUGCCAUCAAAGACAGACAGUAGGAGAAAUAGCUGCACAGAGAAUGCUCAGGCUUGUCCAUCUGCACAGUGAUUGAUUAGGAGCAUCUGAAGCUGAUGGAAUAUGUUGAUUUUAAAGGUACAAAUCAAGUCUUGGGAAAAAAAUGAAUAAGGAAAAAUCCAGAAGAGAGAAAGAAAAGGAACAGAAAAAAAAAAAUCUUCUCAGUAUCCAGCCAGGAAGAACAGUGGUCUCAAUUGAUCUUCCCCUGUUGGGACUGUCUCCAAUGCAGCCAGUAUCAGAACUGAAGAUGACAACAAGGAGAAGAACUUGCGCCAUGCUAUUUCCCUAUAACUACAUGUCUUUCAUCAGAACCUGCUCAAGAUCCCUACUGGUUGUUGCUAUGCAAAACACAAAUGUUGAAUCACCUGCCAAGAAUCUUCUACAAAGUCAGGCUGAAUCUGAAGGGUGUAAAUGGACGUGCUCAUGGCUCUGCUGAGAAGAAUAAUAGGAGUUUAAAGGAUCUUGACACAACUGUAGAAGAAUUAGUGGAAACAGAGUGAUGGAUUUGUUUAUCUGGGAUACAGCAGACCUGUGACAAUAGCCUGCAUGAAAAGAAACAGCUCCAACAGGAGCUUAAAACCAUUCCUUACGAGUGAAGCAGAGGAAGUUCAUGGGCCUGGAAGUUCUUGGCUCACAUCUCUGCAUCAUCUUCAAGUGACUGGGAUGGUUUCCCCUCUUUGUCAACCUGUUUAGGAAGAAGCAUUUCCAACAGUGAGACACGUCUGGGGAGCUGGGUGUGGUUCUGGGCUCCCCAGCACGAUGCAUGGACAUACUGGAGAUAGGUCAAAGAAAGGCCAUGAGGACGGUGAAGGGCCUGAAGCUAAGAGAGCUGAGCCUGCUCAGUGUGGAGAAGAACAGGCUCAAGGGGAUCUUAACCCUGUGCAUAAAUACCUCAUGGGAGGCAUUAAGAAUGAAGUUUUUCUUCAGUGGUGCCCAGGGACAAGUCAGACAACAAGCACAAACUGAAAUAUGAGAAAUUCUAUUUAAAUGUAAAAAAGAAGUGUUUUUUUUACUGUGAGGAUGGUAAGACACUGAAAUGGUUUGUCUAGAUGGACUGUGGAAUCUCUGUCCUCGGAGGUACCCAAAACCUGAGUGCAUGUGACCCUGUGCAAACCUUUUUUUAGGAUGGAUGACCCUCUGAUUCCUCCUCUGGAGGCUUCUGUACAGACUGGCAACAAUGAACAUUGUUUUGCCUUCUGGCACAUUU